AUUGAACGCUGGCGGCAGGCCUAACACAUGCAAGUCGAGCGAGCGGCGGACGGGCGAGUAAUGUAUGGGGACUGCCCGAUAGAGGGGGAUAACUACUGGAAACGGUGGCUAAUACCGCAUACUACCGUAUAACCCAUAUGGGAUUAUAUAGUAGGUGGGGUAAAGGCUCACCUAGGCGACGAUCCCGAGCUGGUCUGAGAGGAGGAGCAGCCACAAGGGGACUGAGACACGGCCCAGACUCCUACGGAGGCAGCAGUGGGGAAUAUUGCGCAAUGGGCGCAAGCCUGAUGCAGCCAUGCCGCGUGUAUGAAGAAGGCCUUAGGGUUGUAAAGUGCUUUCAGCUGGGAGGCGUUACCCGCAGAAGAAGCACCGGCUAACUCCGUGCCAGCAGCCGCGGUAAUAC
rnacentral:rRNA from 1 species